rfam:Oryctolagus cuniculus chromosome 13, whole genome shotgun sequence.
CCAAAGGCUCUUUUCAGAGCCACUCCCGUUUUCGGAAAGGGCGCUGU